ACCAGUUGGGCUGCUUCCCUCUGACGCACUUGCUUCUCAUCCGGGGAGCGGGGAGUCUCCGUCUUCACAAAUGAGAAAACAGGCUUUAAGAAGAUAACUCACUGGCCUAAGUCAAGUGGCCGAGCUGGGAUUUGAACCCUAAGCCUUUGAGAAGCCAAAGUCCCUUCUUCAGCUGGGUGGUCAUGGAGUCACCUGAAUAUCUCAUCAGAAGAUGGCUUCUGAGAGUCUGUCCUAUCCCAAUGGCCCCAACAAGAUACAUAUAGACCUUAGAUUAUUGCUACCUGCGUGGAUUCAAAUGACCAAGGCACAACAAUGAGGGGAAUCCAAGCAAUGCCAGCCCAGGUGGUUGGGUCCUCAGGGCCCAAACACUUGACUCUCACCUGUCUCCACACUUGGUCUGCUGUGUGACUCAGAAAACACCUGCCCAUCCUCUCUGGGCCAGGCCACAGGCAAUGCCCUCCAAAAAGAGGUCAGCAAAGUGUGAGAUUCAGAUAAUCUCAGAAGUCACCUGUUCAAAUAUGACUAUCAUAUAAAUACAGACCUCAGGAAGAAAAGUGAGAAAAACAAACUUCAUCCCCUUCCUCUCCGUGGCCCCUGCGGAACACCAGGACCCUUAGCUCUUGUAGGACAUGCCCCCCAGCCACUUCUGGGCUCUGACCCAUUGACCUGGUCCUAGGAAGCCUCCAAACCCCUAAGGAAAGGGCCGUGCCUCUCCAAGGCCAGGCUGGGCAGGGCAGAGCAGACAGUAGCUUAAAGUCUUCCUGCUGCAAUGUUUCUCCCUAUACCAGGUGGUGGUGAGAUGUGACUGGCUGCCAGCCCCUGCCUCAUCCCUUGCAAGCUUUAGAAGGUAAGAAGAGCUGGCAGGUGUGGCUUCCAGAGAAGGAUUCCUAUGGAGCAGAGGCAACUUCUACCUCUUCCUGCUUGGCCCUGUCAGACCAGGCAUGCCUGAAAGCCCCCACAGAGUCCCUCCUCCCACACGCACCCGUGGGCCAACCCCAAGCCUCCUCCCAGGCUUCUCCCAUGAGGCACCUCAAAGCUGUUCCCUUCCUGGCAGCCUCCCUUGAUUCAGCAGGUGGAGCCACCUUCACUUACCUACUGUGUGGCCUGGGAACACCUGAUUCUGUCACCAAUCAUCUUUAGAUGAAAGAGGAAACCCCUUAAAAGGAGAAAACUUCUCAGGCUUCCUUGGAGUCCCAGGGUUGGGAGGGAGUGGUCAACCGGUCCAUCCCCUUGCCCCUGGGCAAGGCUAUAUCAAGAAAGUCUUUGAUGUAUCUUUUAAAGAACUAUAUAUUAUUUAAAAGGCCGGCAAGAAAAAAGAUUUCAUAGCUUCCCUCAGCCAUUCAUUUCAAGCUUUAGGACUGCUUGCUGCAGGAAGUUCUUCUUUCGGUCUAACAUAAAUACUCUAUAAAUGAAAGUGUACUGUUCAAUUGGAGUUAAGGAACUGAGCCUCUGGCCCUGCAAAAGGGAAGCUGUGAGGUAAUUGUUUCUGUGAGGGGAAGAGUCUGAUCCAGUCUUAAUGCUUACAUGGUUCUUUUGACUUCUUUUUUUUUUUUUUUUUUUGAGACAGGGUCUCACUCUAUUGCCCUGGCUGGAAUGCCUUGGUGUGAUCUCUCACUGCAACCUCCGCCUCCCAGGUUCAAGCUAUUCUCCCACCUCAGCCUCCCAGUGCCUGGGACUACAGGCCUGUGCCACCACGCCCAGCUAAUUUUUGUAUUUUUUGGUAGAGACGGGUUUCACUAUGUUGGCCAGGCUGGUCUUGAACCCCUGACCUCAAGUGAUCCACUGGCCUUGGCCUCCCAAAGUGCUGGGAUCAAGGCAUGAGCCACCGUGCCCCGUCUCUUUUGACUUCUUGGUGCCCUUGUCCUCUUUUCGUACCUCUAGCUGUAGACAGCAGCAAAAAGCCUAUGGCGGUUCAAAACUUUAUAGCAAUAAUAAAAUUUCUAAAGUCUAAUUUUCUCAUGCCUGUUAUCCUAAUACAACAGAAUUUGUCCUGAAAUUGGAAGGAUUUAGAUUAUAUAUUAGGAAGAACUCUAUAGAUGGAGCAGUACUGUUUCUGUGAUCAUAAAUUCCUUUCUUGGAAGCCCUUCAAAAAUAGGACUGAUUUCUACCUGCCCGGAGGGUUUCAGGUACCCUACCUGGGAGGGGAGGGGAAGUAAAAGGAAAAGACAUUUGUGGCACCUCUCCAGGGGGCUGGGCAUGGUCCCAGCCCUAGUGUACAGAGAAUAAGAAGAUACUGUCCUCACCCUCAAGGGCUGUUAGUUCACUGGGUCCCUUAGGAUUCAAGCAACAGUCCUCUUGCUCCUACCCUUGGCUCCUUCUAAGGUAGGAGACCACCCCUCAUAUUGUCUUAUGCCCAAUUUCUGCCUCCAAAGAAAGAAAAAGUAAAAACUAAAAGGCAGAAAUGAAAUCCACAAGCAGACAGCCCGGCGCCACACCGUGGGCCUGGUAGUUAAAGACAUAACCUAAUCGGUUAGAUAACAUAACCUAAUUGGUUAUGUUAUCUAUAGAUUACAGACAUUGUAUAGAAAAGCACUGUGAAAAUCCCUGUCCUGUUCUGUUCCAUUCUAAUUACCGGUGCAUGCAUCCCCCAGUCACGUACACCCUGCUUGCUCAAUCGAUCACGACCCUUUCACGCAGACCCCCUUAGAGUUGUAAGCCCUUAAAAGGGACCGGAAUUGCUCACUCGGGGAGCGUGGUUGUUGGAGAUGUGAGUCUUGCUGAAGCUCCCAGCCAAAUAAAGCCCUUCCUU
rnacentral:lncRNA from 10 species